rnacentral:pre_miRNA from 1 species
AGUCUUAUGUAUCCGUGUUGAGAUUCCGUCACAAACCAAACCACGAGGGCUGAUGAGACUUUCAAGAUAAGUGAGGCG